CUGCCCGUAGUUCAGUUGGAUAGAACGUCAGUUUGCGGAACUGAAGGUCGGAGGUUCGAAUCCUUCCGGGCAGG
rnacentral:tRNA from 1 species